CCUGCUUUUAUUAUUUUGCAUACUGUUUAUUUGAAUAUAUAUAUUUAAAAAAAGAAUAUAUAUUUUUUAAAAAGAAAAUUGUAAUAUAUAUACAGAUCUGAUCAGCCAGCCUACAGAGUCUCCCCCAACCCAAAUCACCAUGUCUUGAAUUUUGGGUAGUUUAAGUGACUCCUUCCUUUGCCUGUUAAUUUUAUCCAGACAAGGGAUGUAACUUGGUCUGAAAGCUCUAGCAUAUAUAAGGCUCUGGGUUCAACUCCAGUCUCACACACACUCUGGAUUCAACUCCAGCCCCCCUCCCCCCCACCUCACAUACACACACAAAUAAAAGAAAAAAAAAAGUAUGCCCAGUUUAGUUUUCUUAAUAGAAUAAGCGGUGUUUUGUCUUUUUGUUUUUUGAGACAGGAUCUAACUAUGUAGACCCGUCUGGCCUGGAUCUCACUAUAUAGAAAGACCAUGCUGCCCUCUAACUCAUAGACUUCCCCCUCUCACGUGCUAGGAUUAAAUGCAUGCAUAUCAUUCCCAGUUUAAACUUUUUUUUUUUUUUUUUGUAUAUUUUGUUUUGUUUUGUUUUGUUUUUCAGACAGGGCUACACAGAGAAAACCCUGUCUC
ensembl:antisense